rnacentral:lncRNA from 1 species
GGGUGACAGAGCAAGAUUCCCUCUCAAAACAAACAAAAAACAAAACAAACAAAAAAACAAACAAACUCCACAGUGGAUCAUGCUCCCUAAAGUGGCAUGAACUUCCAACGCUGGCUUAGUGACAUAUUAGGUAGAAUAUGCUUUGUUAAUGAUGGCAGCUAUGCCAGAUUGACUGAGGCUGUGAGGGUGUUUCAUUUUGCUCUUCUCUUUGUACCUUAGGUAACUGGCUGUCUGCAAGAUCAUGGUUUUUCACCAAACAUCUCCUCCUCAUAAAAGUACACUAAUUUCACUGACAGAAACGAAAAUCAACGGCAAGCGGGCUCCUUGAGUGCGGGGGAUGCCCCUCAACAAGCCAUAACAGCCUGACUGUCGACCAACAGCCAAAGGAAGAAGCCAAGGUCAGGAGCAUCAGGUGCGGUUAGUGCCAGCGCACACACACAGGUGCCCCACGUCUCCCUCUCCCACUCAACUACCCCAAGGAAUGUGGGGAACAAAGAGGGUCGAGACUGGAAAUAAGAGCAGGGCAUGUGCACACAUCAACAUGCUAAUUUAAAAAAAAAAAGUAAUGUUCAAAAGUAUUUACAAAGACAGCAAUUUUAUUUUAAAUAACAAAAACAAAAAUUACUGACUGAAGGGUGCUAUCCUACAACUGGACUCUAUGAUAUCUCAGAAGCAGAGUAGGAGAUUUAGUUUUAGUUUUCUUUUUUUUUAAUUUAAAUUUUUUUUUUUUUUGAGAAGGAGUCUCACUCUGUCACCCAGGCUGGAGUGCAGUGACGCAAUCUCGGCUCACUGCAACCGCCACCUCCCGG